AUGAGAACUUUGAAGGCC
rnacentral:snRNA from 1 species